UCAUGCGAACACGGGAGCCGGGUAAACCCAGCUGAGAGGAAGACAUCCAGUCUUCGACCGUAGAACCUGUCUGGGUAAUGCCAGCGAAGGAAGGAACUUUAAAUGUUUAA
rnacentral:ncRNA from 1 species